UUGCUCCGAUGGAAUAUGGGUAUAAAUGUCCCUCUGACCUGAGACCGCCACGGUGACUUGCAAACAACUCACUGCACUUAGGCACUGGACUACCUGAAUUUCUAAUUCAGUGAUGGAAGGCUGUUGGGUGUAGUCAAGUACUUGACUUGUCGGUGCGUGUGUCAAGAUGGGAUUGACCACUCCAGUUUAGGAGCUGUGUACAGUUGUAUUUUAAUUUAACAAAACUUUGGCCAGGGUAAUCCUUGUGAGGAGUCAUAGGACUGUUUGAGUU
rnacentral:lncRNA from 1 species